rnacentral:lncRNA from 10 species
UCUUUGACAUAAACAAUCAUGUACACUAUGAACAAGAACUGUCCUCUCCAGGGUGGGGUGGGCACCAGGUUAAGAGUUAGGCAUCUCCUUGAGAUGUCCUUAUUUGCUUAGGUCCUGCAUGAAAGCACAUAGUGCCCUAGCUCUUUUGAAAAGCAGGAAAAUCCUGAAAGAAAGCAACACAGAGCUUUCUCCAUUGUGAGGUAGUGAGGAGGGGAUUAGGACACUAGGUGAGAAAGGACAGGCCUAGACAAUGAAGCAAGGGGCGAGUGGGUGGAUGGGUAAAACCACCUGCUCCUCAAAACAGCCAGGCUCUGAGAUGAAGCAGGAAUCUGCACUUAAACCGAGGCUGGAUCCAUCCUAGGGAUUCAAGCCUGUGUUGUCAAGCGAAAACAGAAAAGAGAAGGGAAUUCCACCUUUGCCCACUGAGAACACAUCUAUGCUGAGAACACAUCUACCCAACUCCUCUGUCACAACCCCUGUGAGAAGGUUCUGCCAUCUCCCAGCCCUGAAGAUUGUGAGCUCCCUGAUGGCCCUGGGCCUCCCUCCCGACAGCUGAGGCCCUUCCUGGAUCUCUACACGUCACCAAGCUAAGCCAGUGUUCCAAAAUAGUCUCCUGAACAAUGAUGACAACUGCACAGUUAUUUUGGAAGAACUUCCUGGCAGUGAUGGCAGUGGAACAUUGGAAACAGAGAUGAACAGGAGGUGGGAAGAGGAGGCUAAGUACAUGUAGGCCUAAAAGUCUCUGCCUUGGGAGAUUUUUAACAGUCCUGGAUGGAGGAGAAACAAGAUCUUAUAUUGGACACUGAUUCAUAGCAUAUACAGCCUUCUGAGGAACUUCACUCCACCCCUGCAAGAAAUUGCCACCUAGCUGAUGUCAUAACUGAGACUUCAAAAUGCUAUUCCACUGUUUUAUCAAGCCAAUUGCUUCAGGAUGAUGGGGAAGAUAAUCAGACCAGCAAAUUCCACGAGCAUGGGUCCGUU